rnacentral:lncRNA from 1 species
UAAACCCUAAACACAAACUCUAACACAUAAACUAUUAACCCAAAAUAAUAAACAUUAAACUGUAAUCCCUAAAACUCUAAACCAUGGACAUUAAAUCAUAUAUUCUAUAACGUAAACCCUUAAAUAAAAUAAAAAUUUUGCAGCGCCACUAAAGUUCCCAAUAGGCCUAACCUGACCCCGAAUCUUUAAACCCUAAAUCACUAACUCUUAUCUUCUAACCCUUAAACCACUAAC